AUAUCCAAGCCCAUUUCCCUUUUAUAUAUAAACCUAAAUCGUAAUGUUCUCUCUCUCAUUUCCCUUUCCUCUUUCCUUUCUUUUGAGUUCAAUCUUGCGGCUCCCUCACCACGACACCACCUCCUCUCCCCCUUUUCUCACCACCUCCGUUUGAACCUCCCUCACCAACUUGCGGCGCCCUCACCACCUUGCGCAAACACCUCCGUUGCGUCAGACCUUGCGGCUCCCUUGUGCGCGAACACCUCCGUUGCAUCACCACCUUGAGGCGCCCUCACCAACACCUCCGUCACUUUCACUCUCUCAUACGACACUCAAAGGUUUGAAGAGUUGAAGUUGCCGAAACUGUUGCCAUCAUGUUGAAUCUGUUGCCAUGUUGAAGCUGCCAUGUUGAAUUUAUUAAUUGAAUGAGGACUUUUAUUGCAUUUUAAAGACUUUUGUAAUGUCUGAAAUUUUAUUCUAAUGGUCUGGCUGUUUUUUUUUGUAUUA